CCUGGCUCAGGAUGAACGCUAGCGACAGGCUUAACACAUGCAAGUCGAGGGGCAGCGGGGGUAGCAAUACCCGCCGGCGACCGGCGCACGGGUGAGUAACGCGUAUGUAACUUACCUAUCAGAGGGGGAUAACCCGGCGAAAGUCGGACUAAUACCGCAUGAAGCAGGGGCCCCGCAUGGGGAUAUUUGCUAAAGAUUCAUCGCUGAUAGAUAGGCAUGCGUUCCAUUAGGCAGUUGGCGGGGUAACGGCCCACCAAACCGACGAUGGAUAGGGGUUCUGAGAGGAAGGUCCCCCACAUUGGUACUGAGACACGGACCAAACUCCUACGGGAGGCAGCAGUGAGGAAUAUUGGUCAAUGGCCGAGAGGCUGAACCAGCCAAGUCGCGUGAGGGAUGAAGGUUCUAUGGAUCGUAAACCUCUUUUAUAAGGGAAUAAAGUGCGGGACGUGUCCCGUUUUGUAUGUACCUUAUGAAUAAGGAUCGGCUAACUCCGUGCCAGCAGCCGCGGUAAUACGGAGGAUCCGAGCGUUAUCCGGAUUUAUUGGGUUUAAAGGGUGCGUAGGCGGCCUUUUAAGUCAGCGGUGAAAGUCUGUGGCUCAACCAUAGAAUUGCCGUUGAAACUGGGGGGCUUGAGUAUGUUUGAGGCAGCCGGAAUGCGUGGUGUAGCGGUGAAAUGCAUAGAUAUCACGCAGACCCCCGAUUGCGAAGGCAGCCUGCCAAGGCAUGACUGACGCUGAUGCACGAAAGCGUGGGGAUCAAACAGGAUUAGAUACCCUGGUAGUCCACGCAGUAAACGAUGAUCACUAGCUGUUUGCGAUACACUGUAAGCGGCACAGCGAAAGCGUUAAGUGAUCCACCUGGGGAGUACGCCGGCAACGGUGAAACUCAAAGGAAUUGACGGGGGCCCGCACAAGCGGAGGAACAUGUGGUUUAAUUCGAUGAUACGCGAGGAACCUUACCCGGGUUUGAACGCAUUCGGACCGAGGUGGAAACACCUUUUCUAGCAAUAGCCGUUUGCGAGGUGCUGCAUGGUUGUCGUCAGCUCGUGCCGUGAGGUGUCGGCUUAAGUGCCAUAACGAGCGCAACCCUUGCCACUAGUUACUAACAGGUGAUGCUGAGGACUCUGGUGGGACUGCCAGCGUAAGCUGCGAGGAAGGCGGGGAUGACGUCAAAUCAGCACGGCCCUUACAUCCGGGGCGACACACGUGUUACAAUGGCGUGGACAAAGGGAGGCCACCUGGCGACAGGGAGCGAAUCCCCAAACCACGUCUCAGUUCGGAUCGGAGUCUGCAACCCGACUCCGUGAAGCUGGAUUCGCUAGUAAUCGCGCAUCAGCCAUGGCGCGGUGAAUACGUUCCCGGACGUGUACACACCGCCCG
rnacentral:rRNA from 1 species